UGAGGAACAUGACCUUCGGCGGGGGAUAGCCGGCCCAACGGCCGGGUAAUACCGCGUACGACCACAUGGGGACAUCCCUGAGUGGUGAAAGCAGCAAUGCGCCGAUGGAGUGCCUCGCGGCCUAUCAGCUAGUUGGUGAGGUAACGGCUCACCUAGGCGACGACGGGUAGCUGGUCUGAGAGGAUGGCCAGCCACAUUGGGACUGAGACACCGGCCCAGACCUCUACCGGGGAGG
rnacentral:rRNA from 1 species